GAGUUUGAUCGUGGCUCAGAUUGAACGCUGGCGGCGUGCUUAACACAUGCAAGUCGAGCGGCAGCGCGGGGGGCAACCCUGGCGGCGAGCGGCGAACGGGUGAGUAAUGCUUCGGAAUCUUCCUCGUAGUGGGGGAAUAACCUGGGGAAACUCAGGCUAAUACCGCAUACGAACUACGGUUGAAAGCAGGGGAUCGCAAGACCUUGCGCUAUGAGAUGAGCCGAAGUCGGAUUAGCUAGUUGGUGAGGUAACGGCUCACCAAGGCGACGAUCCGUAGCUGGUCUGAGAGGACGACCAGCCACACUGGGACUGAGACACGGCCCAGACUCCUACGGGAGGCAGCAGUGGGGAAUAUUGGACAAUGGGGGCAACCCUGAUCCAGCGACGCCGCGUGUGUGAAGAAGGCCUGCGGGUUGUAAAGCACUUUUAGUGGGGAUGAAAAGCCGAAGGCUAAUACCUUUCGGUCUUGACCUAA
rnacentral:rRNA from 1 species